AUAGUGCUCCUCCUACCCACAAUGGUAUCAGAACACAAUUUUCGCGUUUUUGGAAGAAAAUUCGCAGAAUAACUGCCGAAGGAGAACUCU
rnacentral:sRNA from 1 species